rnacentral:rRNA from 1 species
UACGUAGGGUCCGAGCGUUGUCCGGAAUUAUUGGGCGUAAAGGGCUCGUAGGCGGUUUGUCGCGUCGGGAGUGAAAACACCGGGCUUAACUCGGUGCUUGCUUUCGAUACGGGCAGACUGGAGGUAUGCAGGGGAGAACGGAAUUCCUGGUGUAGCGGUGAAAUGCGCAGAUAUCAGGAGGAACACCGGUGGCGAAGGCGGUUCUCUGGGCAUUACCUGACGCUGAGGAGCGAAAGUGGUGGGGAGCGAACAGG